rnacentral:rRNA from 1 species
AUGGUGCAAGGUUGGAAGGAAAAGAUCUUACUAGGGGGAAAGGAGAUGCUAAUUAAAACUAUAAUUCAGUCUUUACCCGUGUUUGCUAUGUCAGUGUUCAAGAUUCCCAAGAAAAUCUGUAGGGAAAUCACUAAUGCUAUAUAAGGAUUUUGGUGGGGUGAUACUGAGGAGAAGAACAAGAUGCAUUGGAGGGCAUCGUGGAAGAUGUGUAUCCCCAAGAAUGAUGGGGGUAUGGAGUUCAGAGAUUUACAUGCUUUUAAUCUUGCAAUGCUCGCAAAGCAGGUUUGA